rnacentral:tRNA from 1 species
GGCGCGGUAGCAAAGCGGUUAUGCAGCGGAUUGCAAAUCCGUCCAGGCCAGUUCGACUCUGGCCCGCGCCUCCA